rnacentral:rRNA from 1 species
UACGUAGGGUGCGAGCGUUGUCCGGAAUUACUGGGCGUAAAGAGCUCGUAGGUGGUUGUCGCCGUUGUUCGUGAAAUCUCACGGCUUAACUGUGAGCGUGCGGGCGAUACGGGCAGACUAGAGUACUGCAGGGGAGACUGGAAUUCCUGGUGAGCGGUGGAAUGCGCAGAUAUCAGGAGGAACACCAGCGGCGAAGGCGGCGACCUGGUCCUGACUGACGCUGAGGCGCGAAAGCGUGGGGAGCAAACAGGAUUGAGAUACCC